ACAAAACAGAUUAGAGAGCAAAUAGAAAAAAAAACAGCUACUGUCAUCAUCGUUACUGCUUCGCUUAGCGAGAUGCUAGCGAAGCUUCGCUACAUGUUCGCUUAGCGAGGUGCUAGCGAAUGCCUGCGGGUUCUGGGUUCUUCCUUAUUAACAGUCCGAUUUCAGGAACCCCAAACCCUAUGGUAUCCAUCUCAAAAGCGAAGUGAUUAAACAUUUAAGGAAUUGUUCUACACAUUCAUACACAUCUA
rnacentral:lncRNA from 1 species